rnacentral:rRNA from 1 species
AUGCAUUGUUUGCUGAUUUUUGUGGAUACACGGUACAGUGUUGUUGUUCCAAUAAUUGGUGUUCAGGUACACACAACAGUAAUUUUAUCAAUACGGGUUUGGGACAAAAUAGCACCUGCUAUGGCUUCACACUUUGAUGCUCCCUACUCAGUUCCUCCGAUUGAACCACGUCCACUCCUCCUAAAUGGUGCUGACGACCCUCGUUGCCCAGUCCUUGGUCUACAAGAACCUGCCUCAAAAGCUGCUGAGGCUUAUGCAGAAGCUGGUUCUGCGGAUAAGUUCAAGGAUCCAAAGAACUAG